UGCAGUCGAGCGGACAGAUGGGAGCUUGCUCCCUGAUGUUAGCGGCGGACGGGUGAGUAACACGUGGGUAACCUGCCUGUAAGACUGGGAUAACUCCGGGAAACCGGGGCUAAUACCGGAUGGUUGUUUGAACCGCAUGGUUCAGACAUAAAAGGUGGCUUCGGCUACCACUUACAGAUGGACCCGCGGCGCAUUAGCUAGUUGGUGAGGUAACGGCUCACCAAGGCAACGAUGCGUAGCCGACCUGAGAGGGUGAUCGGCCACACUGGGACUGAGACACGGCCCAGACUCCUACGGGAGGCAGCAGUAGGGAAUCUUCCGCAAUGGACGAAAGUCUGACGGAGCAACGCCGCGUGAGUGAUGAAGGUUUUCGGAUCGUAAAGCUCUGUUGUUAGGGAAGAACAAGUGCCGUUCAAAUAGGGCGGCACCUUGACGGUACCUAACCAGAAAGCCACGGCUAACUACGUGCCAGCAGCCGCGGUAAUACGUAGGUGGCAAGCGUUGUCCGGAAUUAUUGGGCGUAAAGGGCUCGCAGGCGGUUUCUUAAGUCUGAUGUGAAAGCCCCCGGCUCAACCGGGGAGGGUCAUUGGAAACUGGGGGAACUUGAGUGCAGAAGAGGAGAGUGGAAUUCCACGUGUAGCGGUGAAAUGCGUAGAGAUGUGGAGGAACACCAGUGGCGAAGGCGACUCUCUGGUCUGUAACUGACGCUGAGGAGCGAAAGCGUGGGGAGCGAACAGGAUUAGAUACCCUGGUAGUCCACGCCGUAAACGAUGAGUGCUAAGUGUUAGGGGGUUUCCGCCCCUUAGUGCUGCAGCUAACGCAUUAAGCACUCCGCCUGGGGAGUACGGUCGCAAGACUGAAACUCAAAGGAAUUGACGGGGGCCCGCACAAGCGGUGGAGCAUGUGGUUUAAUUUCGAAGCAACGCGAAGAACCUUACCAGGUCUUGACAUCCUCUGACAAUCCUAGAGAUAGGACGUCCCCUUCGGGGGCAGAGUGACAGGUGGUGCAUGGUUGUCGUCAGCUCGUGUCGUGAGAUGUUGGGUUAAGUCCCGCAACGAGCGCAACCCUUGAUCUUAGUUGCCAGCAUUCAGUUGGGCACUCUAAGGUGACUGCCGGUGACAAACCGGAGGAAGGUGGGGAUGACGUCAAAUCAUCAUGCCCCUUAUGACCUGGGCUACACACGUGCUACAAUGGACAGAACAAAGGGCAGCGAAACCGCGAGGUUAAGCCAAUCCCACAAAUCUGUUCUCAGUUCGGAUCGCAGUCUGCAACUCGACUGCGUGAAGCUGGAAUCGCUAGUAAUCGCGGAUCAGCAUGCCGCGGUGAAUACGUUCCCGGGCCUUGUACACACCGCCCGUCACACCACGAGAGUUUGUAACACCCGAAGUCGGUGAGGUAACCUUUUAGGAGCCAGCCGCCGAAG
rnacentral:rRNA from 1 species